rnacentral:sRNA from 1 species
ACCAUCUGUUCACUCCCCACCGGAAUGUGAUUAUCCUUGCUGGGCUGGGAACUGGGGAAAGCAGGGGAGCCUGUGCUGGGUGAGAUUAUCUGCAAUGGACCGGGUUAAUGGGAGGCUUGCUUUGGCUCGCUGGAAGAACAAAUGAAGGGAGUUUUACUUCAACCAUUUGUGACUUCUGGCCAAGAGGAAUAAAUUCAGCUUUUAUAAGGCAGCAGUACCUGUCCAAAGAUCGCUUUAGUUCCACCUUGCUCCACAAGCAGCACAACCACACUGGUUGGUGAGAAUGUAUCUGAAGAAGAGGCUCAGGGAAUAAAUGGGAACAGGCCAGCAAAACACUCAGCUGCAAGUCCAAAGCCACAAGAUCUAGGCCAGUGAGCAUGAGCCAACUGUCAGCUAACUGAGUUUAUAAAAGAGAUGAGAUCACUAAAAACCAGGGGAACCAGCUGGGGGAAAAUGGGGCAUGUAAUUAGGAGGCGACAUGACUCCUCACCCUUCUUCCAGAAGUGCCUCCAAAGCCAUUACACCUGCAGAAUUCAC